GACGAACGCUGGCGGCGUGCUUAACACAUGCAAGUCGAACGGUGAAGGGACCGGUUUUUGCUGGUUCUGGAUGAGUGGCGAACGGGUGAGUAACACGUGAGUAACCUGCCCCCUUCUUCUGGAUAACCGCAUGAAAGUGUGGCUAAUACGGGAUAUUCUGCGCCUGCUGCAUGGUGGGUGUGGGAAAGAUAUUGUUUCGGUGGGGGAUGGGCUCGCGGCCUAUCAGCUUGUUGGUGGGGUGAUGGCCUACCAAGGCGGUGACGGGUAGCCGGCCUGAGAGGGUGGACGGUCACACUGGGACUGAGACACGGCCCAGACUCCUACGGGAGGCAGCAGUGGGGAAUAUUGCACAAUGGGCGCAAGCCUGAUGCAGCGACGCCGCGUGAGGGAUGGAGGCCUUCGGGUUGUAAACCUCUUUCGCCAGUGAAGCAGGCCUGUCCCUUUUGUGGGUGGGUUGACGGUAGCUGGAUAAGAGGCGCCGGCUAACUACG
rnacentral:rRNA from 1 species